rnacentral:rRNA from 1 species
GAUGAACGCUGGCGGCGUGCCUAAUACAUGCAAGUCGAGCGAACGGACGAGAAGCUUGCUUCUCUGAUGUUAGCGGCGGACGGGUGAGUAACACGUGGAUAACCUACCUAUAAGACUGGGAUAACUUCGGGAAACCGUAGCUAAUACCGGAUAAUAUUUUGAACCGCAUGGUUCAAAAGUGAAAGACGGUCUUGCUGUCACUGAUAGAUGGAUCCGCGCUGCAUUAGCUAGUUGGUAAGGUAACGGCUUACCAAGGCAACGAUGCAUAGCCGACCUGAGAGGGUGAUCGGCCACACUGGAACUGAGACACGGUCCAGACUCAUACGGGGGGCGGCAGUAGGGAAUCUUACGCAAUGGGAGAAAGCCUGACGGAGCAACGCCGCGUGAGUGAUGAAGGUCUUCGGAUCGUAAAACUCUGUUAUUAGGGAAGAACAUAUGUGUAAGUAACUGUGCACAUCUUGACGGUACCUAAUCAGAAAGCCACGGCUAACUACGUG